AUGCAACAAAAACCGAAAGCGCCAGAAAUAUUACAGUACGCAACCCUCGCCUCGCACAAUCCUCACUCGUCUAUCCGUUCCUCCACCUCUCGUUGCUCGGGCUCCCUAUCCUGCACUCCUCUCCCGCGCGCCCACCACCUGUUCGACCCGACGCCCCGCCCCUCCACACGCGCCCCACAUUCCAGUCGCUCGCCGCCAAUGGCAACGACCGCCGCGGCCAUGGCACCCCCCUCCACCUCCGCCUCCUCGGUCCUCCUCCUUCGCCGCCUCCCUUCCCCGACCUCCGCGGCCCCCGGCUGCUGCCGCCUCGGCCCGCCGCCCCGCCUCCGCACGGCCCGCCCGCGGGUCUCCCUCACCAGCGACGUCUCCUCCUCGUCCGACGUGGCCGAGGAGGAGGCCGAGCACGCGCCCAAGGUCGGCAGGCGCGUGCGCGUCACGGCGCCCCUCCGCGUCUACCACGUCGUCAAGGCGCCCGACCUGGACAUCCAGGGCAUGGAGGGCGUCAUCAAGCAGUACGUCGGCGUCUGGAAGGGCAAGCGCAUCACCGCCAACUUCCCCUUCAAGGUCGAGUUCCAGCUCACCGUCGACACGCAGCCCAAGCCGGUCAAGCUCUUUGUCCACCUACGCGAGGACGAGUUCGAGUACAUCGGCGACGAAUGA
rnacentral:rRNA from 1 species